rnacentral:rRNA from 1 species
AUUGAACGCUGGCGGCAGGCUUAACACAUGCAAGUCGAGCGAGCGGCGGACGGGUGAGUAAUGUCUGGGAAACUGCCUGAUGGAGGGGGAUAACUACUGGAAACGGUAGCUAAUACCGCACACCAUCAGAUGUGCCCAGAUGGGAUUAGCUAGUAGGUGGGGUAAUGGCUCACCUAGGUGACGAUCCCUAGCUGGUCUGAGAGGAUGACCAGCCACCCUGGAACUGAGCCACGGUCCCGACUCCUACGGGAGGCGGCGUUGGGGAAUAUUGCACUUUGGGGGCAAUCCUGAUGCAGCCGUGCCGCUUGUGUGAAGAAGGCCUUCGGGUUGUAAAGCACUUUCAGCGAGGAGGCGUUACUCGCAGAAGGAGCGCCGGCUAACUCCGUGCCAGCAGCCGCGGUAAUAC